rnacentral:rRNA from 1 species
UUGGAGGGCAAGUCUGGUGCCAGCAGCCGCGGUAAUUCCAGCUCCAAUAGCGUAUAUUAAAGUUGUUGCAGUUAAAAAGCUCGUAGUUGAAUUUCGGGAUUUGUCGGUUGGUCGGGCUUCACUGUCCGCACUGGCCUGAUGGAUUCCUACCUUCUGAACAACCAGCAUGCUAUUAAGUUAGUGCGUUGGGGAAGCAGAGCUAUUACCUUGAAAAAAUUAGAGUGCUUAAAGCAAGCUUGUGCUUGAAUAGAUUAGCAUGGAAUAAUAAAAUAGGACGGCAUGGUUCUAUUUUGUUGGUUUCUAGGAUCACCGUAAUGAUUAAUAGGGAUAGUUGGGGGCAUUAGUAUUCAAUUGUCAGAGGUGAAAUUCUUGGAUUUACUGAAGACUAACUUCUGCGAAAGCAUUUGCCAAGGAUGUUUUCAUUAAUCAAGAACGAAAGUUGGGGGAUCGAAGACGAUCAGAUACCGUCGUAGUCUUAACCAUAAACUAUGCCGACUAGGGAUCGGACGAUGUUAAUUUUUUAAUGACUCAUUCGGCGCCUUACGGGAAAC